rnacentral:rRNA from 2 species
CAAACUCUUUUUAUCAAUGUCGUCUGAGUACUAUACAAUAGUUAAAACUUUCAACAACGGAUCUCUUGGUUCUGGCAUCGAUGAAGAACGCAGCGAAAUGCGAUAAGUAAUGUGAAUUGCAGAAUUCAGUGAAUCAUCGAAUCUUUGAACGCACAUU